AUAAUAUCAAUAUCAUACUAACCACGCAUGACGCAUCUCUUCAUCUAAGAGCCAAAAAUUUAAAAGCACCCAACGCUUAGUACUACUAAUAGUAUAGUAGCAUAAUUAUAUGAGAAAUACUUCAAUACACUGGCUCAUUUAAGUUUAACCAUUUAUUUUUUGAGGAUAUAAUUGACUUUUAAACAUUAGGGCUACUAUACUCUUAUGAGUGUGUAUAUAUAUAUAUAUAGACCCUUUUGUACUUAUAAGUUUUCAACCGUUGGAUGAUAGCAGUCUCCAAUUUGGAUGAUAGUGGUUCCCUAAGGUUGAGUGGUUGGGUGGUUGAAUAAUCUGAUCUAAUAGGCGGAAAUGAUUACAGGGAUAGAUUUAACGGUCGAAAACCUAUGAGUACAAAAUAGUUUAUACUCAUAAAAGUAUAGUAGCCAGACCCUAUGUGUGUGUGUGCGCGCUAACUCAAUAAUAAUAUUUUUUGAAUUGUGAGUUCAUCGGCAAACUCCUAAAUGAGAUUGUGUUGAGAUAGUUUGGUGAGCUGUAUGAUUCACUCUGCACUCAAAUCUAAGAGACUUAGUCCAACAUAGAAGUUUUCUAUUUGAAUCUUAGCGCGCACUAUAUUAGACAUAAACAGGCAAACUAAUAAGGGAGAAUAAGAUGCAUCUCAUCCAAGAUUUUUUUCUCUUAUAUUUUUGGGUGCCUUUUGAGAUUCAUAAAGCAUGAUGGUAUAUGGCAAAGUUAGCUAAAAGCUUGAUGGUUAGUAUCAUGGGGUCCUAAUUUUGAAACCUUGGUUGCUUUACAAUAAUUCUAGCUGAGUUCAUUUCUUAAAAAAAAAUGAAUCAAGCGAUAAUUACUACACUUCUCUUUGGAAAAAGAGAGAGUAAAUUACACUAUAUAUAGGCCACUAGCUGGUACGUAUUAAUUGUUGAGUUUUGUUUCAAGUGAUCUAACCUCAAUUUGCUAUUACUAUAUUAUUAAACUUAAAUAUACAUUUUAAAUAAGCUAUUCAUUGAAGUCAAUUUAAUAUUCGUAAUGAAAAGAGGACGUGUGUAAUAGUUGCCUCAAUUGCCACGUUAACAAUACAAUAUUAUCGGUACAUUUCAAAAUAUGAUAUAUAUUUUAUAUCUAUUCUAUGUAAGAAUCAUUAAUUCUUUAUUUAUCACAUCAAAUUUUUUCACUUUUACUAAAAAUUAUUUUAAUUUUUAUAAAAUCUAGAAUGAAAGGUGUAAACCCUAUAUCUCAAUUUAGAAUGUAUAAACAGUAUUUUUCUUAUCAUUAAUAGUCAAAUCAACUAUUUCGUCAUUGUCAUCUUAUCUAUGGGAGAUGAUGUGUUUCCCUGUUAGGAAAUUCAACAAAGCUAUACAAUAAUUAAAAAUAGAAAUUAAAAUUCAGUGACUCAACUGUAAUAAAUUAAAAUUCAAUAACACUAAUAAAACUUAACAUAAGUUCUGACACAAUUAUUUAUCCAAAUAGAAAAAUUACAAUGAAAAACAUAAGCACUCAGAAUUUGGAUCCCCUCCUUAAUUACCAUAAGAUUUCAUAAUAGUUCCUAAACCUUUUAAUUAUUAUCUAAUUUAUCAUAAUUCCCAUUGUCGUUUGAAAAGUUUUAAUUCGAAUAAUAUAUAGCUCUAAAAAGUUUAAUUAAAUUCUCCUCCAUAAUAAUUUAGAUAUUACAUUACAAUAGAAUAUGAAAAUUAUUUUGAACAAUAUUAGAUCAUGUGAUUUAACGGAAUAAACUUUUGGGAGCGUUCUCGUCCAAUUCAAGUUCGUAUAGGGCCAAGGGUGUGACAUAUCUAUUGUAACCAUAUUUAAUUUAGCAGCUUAAAGACAACAUGCAUGUUUGGAAUUUUACUAGUAUAUAGGAAUCAUAUAUAUAUAUAUGUCAAUUACUAUUUUAUGUAGAACUAAUCUUUCAUGUGAAUUCCUAGCAUUUUUUUAAAAAAAUUUUGGGCCAUUGAUCUCUCUCUUCUUUUACAUAUGAAUAUGUCGAUUCUCUUUUGAUCCUAAGCUUUUGGUCUUCAAGCAUUGCGCCAAAUAACUUUCGACUAUUUUAACAUCUGAAUUCAUAACGUUGGACCCUGACGUUCUUGUCGAGUCCAAAUUAGAUCACAGAUGUAGAUCCGAAUUACCACACAAUGUGAGAUUCUAAAGAUGACUCCUACGGGUUCAAGCCCGCACCACCCGCCCAAAAUGCUUAAACCCAGGUUUUUUUUACUGUGACGAUCCGACCCACUAGCAAUAAUAACUCGUUGGCCCCAAAAUGUUUAAGCCCAGUUAUUAUUACUAAUAUGUACGGCGUAGGCGAUGUGAGAUUCUCGAUGUGGCUCCUAUGGAUUCAAGAGGUCACUUGGUGCUGCAUAGCACUUGGCUCUCACAUUUUCUACUGGUAUUCAGCUCUGAUACCAAUUGUGACGACCCGAUCAGCUAACAAAAAUAACUCGUUCGGCCCAAACCACCGGCCCAAAAUGCUUGAACCCACUUCUUAUUACUAGCAUGCAGGUCUCAUAUAUUCUAAUUAGAAUCACUUUUUCACUCGAUGUGUGACUAUUGAGGCAUUACAUAUAUAUCUAUUACUUUAUAUUAGCAUCAC
rnacentral:lncRNA from 1 species